CCUACGGGAGGCUGCAGUGGGGAAUAUUGGACAAUGGGCGAAAGCCUGAUCCAGCCAUGCCGCGUGUGUGAAGAAGGCCUUCGGGUUGUAAAGCACUUUCAGUGGGGAAGAAAGCCUUGGGGCUAAUACCCUCGAGGAGGGACAUCACCCACAGAAGAAGCACCGGCUAACUCCGUGCCAGCAGCCGCGGUAAUACGGAGGGUGCGAGCGUUAAUCGGAAUUACUGGGCGUAAAGCGCGCGUAGGCGGUCUGAUAAGCCGGUUGUGAAAGCCCCGGGCUCAACCUGGGAACGGCAUCCGGAACUGUCAGGCUAGAGUGCAGGAGAGGAAGGUAGAAUUCCCGGUGUAGCGGUGAAAUGCGUAGAGAUCGGGAGGAAUACCAGUGGCGAAGGCGGCCUUCUGGACUGACACUGACGCUGAGGUGCGAAAGCGUGGGUAGCAAACAGGAUUAGAUACCCGUGUAGUC
rnacentral:rRNA from 1 species